rnacentral:lncRNA from 1 species
GAAGAAAAGAAAUAAAAAGAAGAAAAAGAGGGAAAUGGGAAGAAAAGAGGGAAUGAAAAGAAAGAAAAGGGAAUCAUCCUCAUACUCCCUCCCGUAGCCAAAAUUAUCAGUAGAAUAAAAGAGAGAGAGAGAGAGAGAGAGAAAGAGAAAGAAAUAGAGAGAAUCAGAAGAAGAUGAAGAAGAAGGAAAAGAAGGAUGAAAGAAAAAGGAAUUUGAUAAAGAGGUAAUUUUAAAAUUUCUUAAUUUAUUUUCAAAUAUAAGUUUUCAUAAAUUUUAUAUGAAGAGAUUUUGUUUAUACUUGUUUUAGAUGAUUUAAACUUGUAUAAACAAGGAUCAAACGAGAUAACUCAAGAAAUCAAAAGAAGAACAAAAUCUGGAAAUUUUAAGAAAAAUUAGUUUACUACCUGAUUUUGUAAAAUCCAUAACUCUUUGUGUAUAAUGAGUUAGGAGAUGAGCCAUAUAUCAAAAGAAAGCCCUGGAAGUAAGCUAAGUGCAGAAAUUUGAAUCACCUAAAAAUUAUUUGUAGAUUUUUCGUGGUAAUAGUUUGAGUGAAAUUGGUCUGAAGGACUUAUAGUCCGAAAAAUCAGUUUUAUUAAGCUUUAUUGCAUGAGUUAUAAUUUUUAAUCCAACCAUUGGAUUGUUGUGAUUUUCGGAUAUGUUAUGCAUAUAUAAGUUGAGUAUAUGUCCACAAAUUUUGAACCGUUAAAGAUAAUAUAUAAUCUGUUGUGAAUUUAGUAAGGUGGCUGGUUCAAAAAUUAUCAAACAGAAUAUUUCGGUAAGCCUUUCUCUCUAUGUUAGAGUCAAAAUUUGGGAAAACUUUCUUCUACAAAGUUGUAGAGAAUUAAAUUUUAUAUGGAAGGACAUAAGAUCUGUAUUUUUUUCUGAUAAAGGUGCUAAUUAUUGUGAAUUAUUGAAAUUUCUGAAUAUUGGUGUUUAUAAUUAAUUUAUCAGAAAAAUUAUUUGGGUUGAAAUAUUUUUACAGAAUGCUUAUAAUAUCAUCUUAGAAUUUCUGUAAAAUUUUGAUGAAUUAUUGAAAAGCAGAAGUAAUUAUUGUAUUUUUAAACUAUUUAUAGUUAGUUUGAAAAUAGAAGAAAUUCAUAGAAAAUUCUAUGAAUGAUGAAAAAUUAUAAAACUUGGUGAAAAAUGGUAUAAUAUUGUUUUAUAAUUUUUGGGCUGUUUUGGAAAAUUAUUGAAUAACAGAAUUAUUUAUUGUAUUUUUAAGCUAUUUAUGGUUAAUUUAAAAAUAGAGGAAAUUCAUAGGAAAUUCUAUGAAUGGUGGAAAAUUAUGAUUUUUGAUGAAAAAUAUUAUAAUAAUAUAGGAUUAAUAUUGAUGAUGUUUUAAAGAUAUAAAAGUAUUUGGAGUUAGUAUAUCUAUUUUGAAGCUAUUAAAUGAUAGUUUUUAUAAAUGGAAAUAAAGUUGGUUUUAAACUUGUAUAUCUUUGGCCUGUAGUGCAAAGAUGGACUGUUGGUUAUUGAUUUUACAGUUGUAUAACUGUUGAUUUACUUGAUUAUAAAUAUGAAUUGUGAAUUUAAUUAUAAUCUGUGGUGGUUCAGGUGAACAAAGGUGAUGAGAGUUCUCUUUGUCUUUGGGUAUAACAAAGAACUGUUGAUGAAUAUUACAGGAAUGAAAUAUUAAUGAUGGACUUUUAAUCUAGAGGAGAUAGUAGACAUUAUGUUCUACUUGACUCUACUAAUGGAUUGUUGAUUCCACUGCUAUUAUGGUUGAAAACUUUUAUCUUCUACCAUAUGUUCUAAAUAUCUGAAUUAUUUUGGUAAUUUAAUUAUCUUAAGUCAUGAUAUUCUUUACUGGGCUAUUUGUGCUCACCCUUUUACUUCUCCACCCCUUUCAGGUAAUAAAAGUGUAGCUGGGACUAGCAGAGAGAACACGGGUAUAAAGUGGUGAUACGAAUUAGUCAUAAGCCUAAUAAAAUUAUGAAACGAUGUGGCAUAAUAAUUAUAUUGAGAACUUAAAAUGUGUGUGACAUAUUUUAUACAUCAUUUACUAAUUGAUUUUGGUGAACAACUAUAGGGUGAUGAGGACCCGACCUUGAAAGUGUCAAAAAUACACCGCAUUAAAAUGAGGAGAAUAGAAAUCUUCUAGUCUCCCUUGGAGACUUGAAUUAUUUGCUUCUGUACUUUAUAUGGC